rnacentral:rRNA from 1 species
GACGAACGCUGGCGGCGUGCUUAACACAUGCAAGUCGAACGGAAAGGCCUGCUUUCCCUUGUGGUUUGCGGGUACUCGAGUGGCGAACGGGUGAGUAACACGUGAGUGAUCUGUCCCCAACUUGGGUAUAAGCCUGGGAAACUGGGUCUAAUUCCCGAUAGGACUGCAGGGUGGUGCCUGUGGUGGAAAACGAUUUUCUAGUGGUUGGGGAUGAGCUCGCGGCCUCUCAGCUUGUUGGUGGGGUAAUGGCCUACCAAGGCGGCGACGGGUAGCCGGCCUGAGAGGGUGGACGGUCACAUUGGGACUGAGAUACGGCCCAGACGCCUACGGGAAGCAGCAGUGGGGAAUAAUGGACAAUGAGCGGAAGCCUGAUGCAGCGACGCCGCGUGGAAGAUGACGGGCUUCGAGAUGUAAACUCCUUUGGACCACGAGGAAGCCACCUGGUUGGAAGGGUGGUGACGGUAGUCGAAGAAGAAGCACCGGCUAACUACGUG